rnacentral:rRNA from 1 species
AUUGAACGCUGGCGGCAGGCCUAACACAUGCAAGUCGAGCGGAGCGGCGGACGGGUGAGUAAUGCCUAGGAAUCUGCCUGGUAGUGGGGGAUAACGUCCGGAAACGGGCGCUAAUACCGCAUACUAUCAGAUGAGCCUAGGUCGGAUUAGCUAGUGGGUGGGGUAAAGGCCUACCAAGGCGACGAUCCGUAACUGGUCUGAGAGGAUGAUCAGUCACACUGGAACUGAGACACGGUCCAGACGCCUACGGGAGGCAGCAGUAGGGAAUAUUGGGCAAUGGGCGAAAGUCUGAUCCAGCCAUGCCGCGUGAGUGAAGAAGGUCUUCGGAUUGUAAAACACUUUAGGUAGGGAAGCGUUACCUACAGAGUAAGCAACGGCUAACUACGUGCCAGCAGCCGCGGUAAUUC